GGUUUCGUAGUGUAGUUGGUUAUCACCCAAGGUUUUGAUACUAGUCAAAAAAAAACUCCUUGUAACCCCGGUUCGAAUCCGAGCGAGACCU
rnacentral:tRNA from 1 species